rnacentral:rRNA from 1 species
UACAGAGGGUGCGAGCGUUGUUCGGAAUUAUUGGGCGUAAAGCGCUUGUAGGCGGCAUGUCAAUUCGCGUGUGAAAUCCCCAGGCUUAACCUGGGAAGUGCGCGCGAAACUGACGAGCUUGAGUGCCGGAGAGGGUCGCGGAAUUCCCGGUGUAGAGGUGAAAUUCGUAGAUAUCGGGAGGAACACCAGUGGCGAAGGCGGCGACCUGGACGGACACUGACGCUGAGACGCGAAAGCGUGGGGAGCAAACAGG